UAGGGAAUCUUCGGCAAUGGACGAAAGUCUGACCGAGCAACGCCGCGUGAGGGAAGAAGGUUUUCGGAUUGUAAAACUCUGUUGUUAGAGAAGAACAAGGAUGUUAGUAACUGAACGUCCCCUGACGGUAUCUAACCAGAAAGCCACGUCUAACUACGUGCCAGCAGGCGUGGCAAUACGAUGGUGGCAAGCGUUGUCCGGAUUUAUUUGGCGUAAAGCGAGCGCAGGCGGUUUCUUAAGUCUGUUGUUAUAGACCCCGGCUCCACCUGGGAGGGUCAUUUGAAUCUGUGAUACUUGAGUGCAUAAGAUGCGCGUGGAAUUCCAUGUGUAGCGGUGAAAUGCGUAUAUAUAUGGAGGAACCCCAGUGGCGAAGGCGGCUCUCUGGUCUGUAACUGACGCUGAGGCUCGAAAGCGUGGGGAGCAAACAGG
rnacentral:rRNA from 1 species